CCUACGGGGAGCAGCAGUGAGGAAUAUUGGUCAAUGGCCGGAAGGCUGAACCAGCCAUGCCGCGUGAAGGUCAGUGCCCUAUGGGCGUUAAACUUCUUUUGUGCGGGAGCAAUAAUGGUCACGUGUGGCCAGACGAGAGUACCGUACGAAUAAGCAUCGGCUAACUCCGUGCCAGCAGCCGCGGUAAUACGGGGGAUGCAAGCGUUAUCCGGAUUUAUUGGGUUUAAAGGGUGCGUAGGCUGUGAGGUAAGUCAGCGGUGAAAUGCCCCCGCUCAACGGGGUGAAGUGCCAUUGAUACUGCCUGGCUGGAAUGCGGAUGCGGUGGGAGGAAUGUGUGGUGUAGCGGUGAAAUGCAUAGAUAUCACACAGAACACCGAUUGCGAAGGCAUCUCACGAAGCCGCGAUUGACGCUGAUGCACGAAAGCGUGGGUAUCAAACAGGAUUAGAUACCCGAGUAGUC
rnacentral:rRNA from 1 species